AACAAGAUGUAAUUCCCACGCCUAAUCCACUGUACCUUCUUGUUUGAAUUCAUACUCUCCCUGCCUGUACUCCCCUGUUUCAGUUCAGAAAACAAGUUUGAAAUACAGAACAUAGAAUACCUCCAGUUUAGAAAGUCUGAUGUAUGCCUCUUAGUUCCCCAUACUUACUACAUAAAAGGAAAUGCUGAACAAUUGCAUGUACUACCUUAGUUCUGUAAGGUUUCUCUCUAAAUAUUCAGAUCAUCGUGUUUGGGGAAGAUACUGUGUAAGAGCUAUGGAGCAGAGCAAUUAUUCCGUGUAUGCCGACUUUAUCCUUCUGGGUUUGUUCAGCAACGCCCGUUUCCCCUGGCUUCUUUGCCCUCAUUCUCCUGGUCUUUGUGACCUCCAUAGCCAGCAACGUGGUCAAGAUCAUUCUCAUCCACAUAGACUCCCGCCUCCACACCCCCAUGUACUUCCUGCUCAGCCAGCUCUCCCUCAGGGACAUCCUGUAUAUUUCCACCAUUGUGCCCAAAAUGCUGGUCGACCAGGUGAUGAGCCAGAGAGCCAUUUCCUUUGCUGGAUGCACUGCCCAACACUUCCUCUACUUGACCUUAGCAGGGGCUGAGUUCUUCCUCCUAGGACUCAUGUCCUGUGAUCGCUACGUAGCCAUCUGCAACCCUCUGCACUAUCCUGACCUCAUGAGCCGCAAGAUCUGCUGGUUGAUUGUGGCGGCAGCCUGGCUGGGAGGGUCUAUCGAUGGUUUCUUGCUCACCCCCGUCACCAUGCAGUUCCCCUUCUGUGCCUCUCGGGAGAUCAACCACUUCUUCUGCGAGGUGCCUGCCCUUCUGAAGCUCUCCUGCACGGACACAUCAGCCUACGAGACAGCCAUGUAUGUCUGCUGUAUUAUGAUGCUCCUCAUCCCUUUCUCUGUGAUCUCGGGCUCUUACACAAGAAUUCUCAUUACUGUUUAUAGGAUGAGCGAGGCAGAGGGGAGGCGAAAGGCUGUGGCCACCUGCUCCUCACACAUGGUGGUUGUCAGCCUCUUCUAUGGGGCUGCCAUGUACACAUACGUGCUGCCUCAUUCUUACCACACCCCUGAGCAGGACAAAGCUGUAUCUGCCUUCUACACCAUCCUCACUCCCAUGCUCAAUCCACUCAUUUACAGCCUUAGGAACAAGGAUGUCACGGGGGCCCUACAGAAGGUUGUUGGGAGGUGUGUGUCCUCAGGAAAGGUAACCACUUUCUAAACAAAUUGCAUAUGCUGCUAGAGACUUGAAAUGAAGGAUACAAGACUUUAUCAUUGCCCUUGAGUUUAAAUAUUCUCUGCCUGGAAACAAGUGACCCACAUGCCAGCAACUGUGGGGCAUUUAUGGGAUUUGGAAAGCUGCCUGGGAUUUUUAAGGAUUUCAUUUUUUUGAAAGGUAUGAAGGCUCUGAACAAUGAACAGUUUGGGCUGGGGUAGGCAUAAAGCUGAGGUUUAGUAGUCACCCAUGAGCUCUUAACAAGGUGUGUAUUCCACUAAAAAUCAUGGACUAGCCUGUUUCUGGCUCUGCUCAGUCAUGGCAAAAACGGUCAUCUUCAACUACUUCCCUGACUUCUCUCGACUUUUCCCCUUUAGACAGUCUGUCCAUUGACCAUUAUAAAGAAUCAACUCAAAUAUUAUAUUUCAAAUAUAGCAGUCACCAUCUUAUCCUCAGGCUGUGUUCUAAGUCUUUUGGGGGAAGCCUGAAACCAUAGUAUAGAACUAUAGAACCUGACUGCUGUCAGUCACAACAUAUUUGCUCAUCUUCUACCAUAAAUGUAAUACGUUUUCUUUCUUACCUAAGCACUUAUCACACACUGUGGCUGUAGGUUUUGCAGUUUGAGGUGUGACAGCAAAAUUACCACAAAUGUGUUUUUCCUCCUACACAAUUUCAAAGAAGAUUCAUUCUUACUGUAGAUCUUGGCAAUCUCAGCAUAUUUUUCUUGCCAGAACCUCCAGUUAAGAACUUAUUAGAAUGUGUCUCUGAUAAUGGUUUGGCUGUUUCCCCACCCAAAUAUCAUCUUGAAUUGUAGCUCCUAUAAUCCCCAUGUGUAGUGGGAGGGGCCUGGUGGGAGUUAAUUGAAUCCUGGGGGUGGGUUUUUCCCAUGCUGUUCUCAUGAUGAAUAAGUCUCACGAGAUCUGAUGGUUUUACAAAGGGUGGUUCCCCUGCACAUGAGUCUUGCCUGCUGCCAUGUAAGACAUGCCUUUGCUUCUCCUUCACCUUCCACCAUUGGCUGUGAGGCCUCCCCAGCCAUGUGGAACUGAGCCCACUUAACCUCUUCAUAAAUUACCCAGUUUGGGGUGUUUUAUAGCAGUGUGAAAAUGGAUUAAUAGUCUGUUUUUCAGAGACAUGAGCAGAGGGCCAAUAUCUUUAGAAAUAUAGAACACUUAAAAAUUAAGUCUUAUAGGAGCUAGCAAGGUUUUGCCAAAUACAGAUUCACCCAAAAAUGUCAAGUGGCACUUUGGAAUGGAGUGAGAGUGGGCAGGCAGAAUUAUCUGAAAUUAAAACAAUCUAAACUCCAAACUGUGGGAGUCAGUCUUGGCUUGUAGCAACCAAGUCUAUACCUACUGAUGAUAUAAAAAGGAUUACUUCCUGAAGAGAGUUAAAGGGAAGGAAAAGAGAAAAAGUGAAUAAGAAACAUGGAAGAUUGAGACACCACAAAAUACCUCUUGUAAAAAGUCUAAAUUAUAUAAGAUAACUAAGUUCAACACUAGACAAAGUAUUGUGACACAUGAACAUGAGUUAGAAACUAAUACCAAUCAAUACACUGUUCACAGGUCUGUUUUUUCCUUAAGUUGGGCUUGUAUUAACAAUUUUCCAAACUGAUACAGCAGCACUUCUCAAACGCUUUCAUGACAUAACUAUAAAAAUUAGUGAUAUGGCACCUUGAGGAAAACUGAUGUGGCUGUUGACAGCAAAAUCAACUCCCCUGUGGCUGUAGCCAAAUCGGGCACUGAAGACCAAUCCAGGGUUGAGAGGAUCAAUAUUGGUUGUAACCCAUUUGUGGCUCUGGAGAAAGACACAUCACACCAGAGGGAAGAGUGUAUCCAAUCAAUCCAAUAGUUAGUUGGAGAACUUUAUUUAUGGAUGACAUAUAAAAUAUUCAGGAAUUAUUGAAUAACAUUCUAAAGGCUGAAAAAGGGUAUGGGUUUUCUGCUUAUCUGCAACAGAGGGUAUAAGGUAUGUGUCCAAUGGAUUUGUGAUGACUAGCAAUCAUAAGUAAUGUUGCCCAUUAGCUGACUUAAUGCAUGAAAAGCAUUCAAUGAUGUUGUUUGGGAAGCAGAACUUUAGUAAUAAGACCACCUUCUUUUCCCCAUUAGAGAAAUAAAUGUUAGGAAGUUCAAUUUUCCUAAUGUUUAAAUAUCUUAAUGUGCUCUGGUGAAAACUUUAGAAAAUGCAUAACUUGU